AAGCGAAAAUAACGAACAGGGGGAAGAAGAAGAAGAAGACGAGAAGAAGACACUCAGAUAACAACAAGUCAGCUGUUAAACUGUCAGCUGUUAAACUGUCAGCUGCUGAGAAGAAACUUUAAACCUGAACUACGCAUCUACAAACUGACGGAAAAUGGUGUGACUGAUCAUCAACGCCUGCAGGUAUGUGGUGCGGAGGAUCCGAGCGGCAUCGAAAGGCGAGGAGCAGCCGGCGAGGACGAUCACAGCAGCAUGUAGCCUGACAAAAGCACAAACUGACGACAUGAUGAACGGCGAGCCGACUGCGAUCCCUCAGCCGACGCAGGCGGUCGACCUGCAGCCCAAACAACAACAGUGUGGCUCCUGAAAAUAAACCGAGAGCUGGAGGGAAGAGAAGAGGGGCAAUAAUCAGAGAGAAGGGUUAAUAAUCAGAGAGAAGGGUUAAUAAUCAGGAGACUAAUAUACAAAUGCACACACACAUAGAAAAUGAACACACACAGAAACCAAAACACACACACACAUAGAAAAUAAACACACACAGAAACCAAAACACACACACACAUAGAAAAUAAACACACACACAAACAGCACCCACAUACACACUUCUCCCCACAGUGUGACAUAAAUCUCUCCUCACCUUCUUCCAGCUCUCAGGUUUUUCUUUCCUCGGUCGUCCGUUCCUGCAGCGACGUGAGCAGAGAGAAUGAAGGUCUGAUCAUCAAAUCCUCCACAGAGGACCUGAUCAGUCCUGAUCAAUACUGAACACUCUGCUGAUGAAGCUGCAACAACUCAAAUAUUCAUUCAUUCAUGUUUUUAUUGUCUGUCCCUGAAAUCAUCUUCAGUAAAACGGGAGAGAACAU